UCAAAUCGCCGAGUUCGCUUGCGGGCAAGUCGCCGGUUUUGAUGUAUCAAUAUGAAAUAGUUAAUUUUGGAGAAUUUUAGCGCCUCGGCGAUUUGAGGGUAAAUGUCAUCUUAUAAAAGACUUGGUAUUCUUGCCAAGACAUGUAAAAAACGAUUUUGCCUCAAUUCGCCGAGGUCGCUUGGAGGGAGAUUGCUUGAGGGUGAAGCGGUAGAAUUCUCUGGAAUUCUCUGAAAGUGUCAAUUUUGUCAGUUUUCUAAGUCGAAAUGUUCUAAUCCAAACUCACUCCAUCUAGCGUUAAUGACACAUAUUAAUUAGUGUUUUGACAGUUUAUAUCCGUCAAUUGCGAUCUGUUGAGAUCUUUGGUUGCGAUACUUCUUAACUUUAACACCCAAAUUAUAUAUUUAACGUGAUUUUGGGCACCACGAAGAAAUUUUGUUCCCGAAAUUGAUCAACGAAGUUGUCUUCAAAACAUAACCUCACGUUUUAUCAGGAGGAGCGCCUUUUGUGUAAGUUGAUGCCACGUGCUCGAGCGUCGCUGUAGUCUUCAGCAAAAUUCUUACGUACACAAGACACAUGCCGGACAAAAAGAGGAAUAAGAGAAUCGAGGAGACCCCGAGGGGGAACGACGAAAAAGGGGGACAUCGCUGGCACGAGUUCGAGCGCCGUUUUUUUUACGAGGUUCCCACGGUCUGUUAACACUGUGUGCGAUUCUCGUUACAGGUAUGUACUAAGAAGUUAAUUUUUAAUUUAACUCAUUGUCUGGUUACUUUAAAUGUUUGGGGUUAAGUUUUGAGAUGAUUUGUAGCUCGUGACUCAUUCAAUCUCGCCCUUAUUCCCACGACCCAAAACACCGGGGCCGGGAUUCCGUCCCGUUCGCCAUAUGCCGCCCGUAGAAGGCGCUCAAAUCGCCUUUGAAUCAAAAGGAAUUCACCACCGUGGGAAGGAUUCGUUUUCUCCCUUUUCUUAUUAUUAUCCCACUCUCCCUUUUAUUAUUCUCCCCUUCUUUUCUUUUGCAAAUAAAUAAAGCAUGCGUUCGACACACUUAUUCCACGCUUACAAUGUUUACAAUAAAUCUUACAGAAAUAUUAAAAACCCACGCGAUCAUUUAAUUGUUUGACCGCGUGCCUGAAUCAAGUCGCAACAAGUCGUGGUCCCACGUCUCGCUCCAUUCGAUUUUAACCUAAUCGCAACCGUGACCGGUGCUUUAAGCAUACCUCUUUCUCUUUUUAAUUGUCUACGCCACCACCGUUUACUAAACAAUGACAGGCGAACGGUGUUUGAAAGCAAAGAGAAAAGGAUCGAAACGGUGUGCGAGAAAGAGAUGGUCGGGCGAUCGCACGUGCUCACAGCACCGUUCCCACGGUAGUUGAAAGCCCCUUUACCUCUUCGCCUCCCUCUCAAGGCUUACUGACGACGGCGACGGCACGGGUCCCAACAGAAACAACAACACAACAAGAAAACCGAUCGGCGCGUGAUUACCGGAUCAAGUUGUCGUUGGUAUGAAUAGAAAAAGAAAGAAACAAAAAAGAACAUUUAUUGACGCCAAAAAUAACUACACCACCAAUGCAUAGUUCUAAAAUAUUUGCACGUGUAUGAAUUACGCAUUGUUAUGAUCUUUUAACAAUGCAAUCGUUGCAUCAUAAAAAUACUCAACUAAAAAAUAAUAAAAAAAAUUUAUUUCAGUUAAAUCAAGCAAAAAUCCUGUCGAGAUUUACACACCCACCCUGAAGAUGAAAUUUCACGCCAAAACCUGUUUACAUAAAAAAUUAUGAAUCAAAAACUUAUAAGUCUUCUUAUUUACUCAUAAAAUUUUUUAAUCGUACCCGAAAACUAAGUACACCGACUUUUCUUACAAUCAUCUUUUAUGAUCCCGUGCUCAGCACGCGCACAAAGCAAGCUGAAAGGGAAAACCCCAAUUGAGAUUAGUCACGCAGUCACAACAAGAGAAACCGGGAUGCGAAUACCUGGUAACAGCGAGUGCGAGAGGGAUGGAUUAAGCGGGAGAGAGUAAAACGGCGGUUUCGUGUCGUGUGUCUGUGUUUUCGUUCGCAACUCUCCUCAGCCGGGAGAAGGAGGAGAUGCCUUGGAGCGUGUCCGUUCACUGUUUCCCACGGUCCUCGAAGGCUCGCUCGCUUCAAAGAGGCAGCGAAAGAAUUCGAGCAUGUGCCGGCUGCUACGAUAUCGUCGCGAUUCGCGUCACAAUUAUUAACGGAGACCUCUUUUACUUAAAGCACAUAUUAUCAUCAAUAAGAUAGCUACUAUUAAUAGAAUUUACGGAUUUAUUCUUUUUUUGAUUUCUAUGGAAUUGUUGUGACAUCAGACCGAUUUUCUUGGUUUCGGUGUUAUUCAUAUUAAUUAUUAAUAGAAAAAGUUUCUAUUCAAUAUUAAUGUUUACAAGCCGAGGCAGCUCUGCUGCUGAGGCGGUGGUUCAAGUAUUGCACAGCAAUAAGAUAAGGAGACGCACGGCUAAACCCGAAUGUU